UGUGGGAGCUGGCUUGCCUGCGAUAGCGGUGGGUCAGACAUGUAUCUGCUGCUGAUACACCGCUAUCGCAGGCAAGCCAGCUCCCACA
rnacentral:misc_RNA from 1 species